CGGGAUGUAGCUCAAUUGGUAGAGCACUUGGUUGAAGCCCUGGCAGCGGUGGUUCGAUUCCAUCCAUUCCGA
rnacentral:tRNA from 1 species